UUGCCCGAUGAUUAUAAAAAGACGCGUUAAGAGGACUUAAAUGCUGGAGUUCUUCAUCUUCCUUCUUUCUUUUUCUGUACUACUUUUUCUUUCUUUGUAUGUCCAGCGUCCUGUGAGCGAAGAUUAUGAGAUAUGAGGGCAA